AUUGAACGCUGGCGGCAGGCCUAACACAUGCAAGUCGAGCGGAUGAAGGGAGCGUGCUCCUGGAUGCAGUGGCGGACGGGUGAGUAAUGCCCAGGAAGCUGCCUGGUAGAGGGGGAUAACGUCAGGUAACGGGCGCGAAGAUCGUACACGAUCAGAGGUAGAAAGGGGGGGAUCUUUGGAGAACACGCGAUUUGCUGAGCCUAGGACGGAUUAGCUAGUUGGUGGGGUAAAGGCCUACCAAGGCGACGAUCCGUAACUGGUCUGAGAGGAUGAUCAGUCACACUGGAACUGAGACACGGUCCAGACUCCUACGGGAGGCAGCAGUGGGGAAUCUUGCACAAAGGGCGAAAGCCUGAUCCAGCCAUGCCGCGUGUGUGAAGAAGGUCUUCGGAUUGUAAAGCACUUUAAGUUGGGAGGAAGGGCAGUAAGUUAAUACCUUGCUGUUUUGACGUUACCAACAGAAUAAGCACCGGCUAACUUCGUG
rnacentral:rRNA from 1 species